rnacentral:rRNA from 1 species
GACGAACGCUGGCGGCGUGCUUAACACACGCAAGUCGAACGGAAAGGCCCUGCUUUUGUGGGGUGCUCGAGUGGCGAACGGGUGAGUAACACGUGAGUAACCUGCCCUUGACUUUGGGAUAACUUCAGGAAACUGGGGCUAAUACCGGAUAGGAGCUCCUGCUGCAUGGUGGGGGUUGGAAAGUUUCGGCGGUUGGGGAUGGACUCGCGGCUUAUCAGCUUGUUGGUGGGGUAGUGGCUUACCAAGGCUUUGACGGGUAGCCGGCCUGAGAGGGUGACCGGCCUCAUUGGGACUGAGAUACGGCCCAGACUCCUACGGGAGGCAGCAGUGGGGAAUAUUGCACAAUGGGCGGAAGCCUGAUGCAGCAACGCCGCGUGCGGGAUGACGGCCUUCGGGUUGUAAACCGCUUUCGCCUGUGACGAAGCGUGAGUGACGGUAAUGGGUAAAGAAGCACCGGCUAACUACGUG